CGCUUUCACCUUUCACUUAAAUAUUUAAAACUAAAACAAUAUCAUCAGAAGAAUAAUAAAAACUGAAACUCACCAGAGCCGAUGCACAAAAUCAAUAAAAGAUUAACGAGGCACAAGCACUUGGACAUUUUCUUCGGUAAAAUCUUCCGAAAAGCGAGUAAUAUUAUUUUAAAAAACUAUCACAAGAUAAUAUUGAAAGGAAAUCUAUUGGUAUGUGAUGAACGUCUGUGGUCACGAUGAGAGUCUUCAGAAGAAGUCUCAGUUUGUUCGAACGGAGUCCCCACCGGGAUCACGGAUUUGAGGAGUGCUGAGUAUGGGAGUAAAAAACACAUGGAAAGGUACGUAAGUAAGGUGUCUAUAGAAGCUAGUGUCUUGUAGUAAGUAUCUGGUUGUAGUUAGACGAGGAUAUACCUCUACCUGCAGAGACGAGAUACAGUGAGGAGCCUACACCGAGAGCCAACCUGUCGGUGAAAGUCGUCGGCCUAUUUUGUCUUUGCCUUCUACACUAACAAAUGGAACCAACACUGACAUACUUAUACCCACACACUGUGGUUUUUAUUAAAUUCAUGUCUUUGUUUAAUAAAAACGUGGACGUCACCUGGACGAUCGCUAAACUCCCACUUUUAGAUGUACUUAUAGCAGUUCCAAAAAUGAAAUUAAAUCACCAGCAAUAAAUUAAAUAAAA